AGCGGGGUAGGGCAGCUAGGAGUGCCCGGGGGGCUCAUAACCCCCAGGUCGGAGGUUCAAAUCCUCCCCCCGCUA
rnacentral:tRNA from 1 species